UACGGAGGGUGCAAGCAUUAAUCGGAUUUAUUGGGCGUAAAGGGCGCGUAGGCGGCCUUGCAAGUCAGAUGUGAAAGCCCGGGGCUCAACCCCGGAACUGCAUUUGAAACUGCAUGGCUAGAGGGUGGUCGGAGAAAACGGAAUUCCACAAGUAGCGGUGAAAUGCGUAGAUAUGUGGAAGAACACCGGUGGCGAAAGCGGUUUUCUAGAUUACUCCUGACGCUGAGGCGCGAAAGCUAGGGGAGCAAACAGG
rnacentral:rRNA from 1 species